UGGAAGUUCAAAGCAAAACGUAAUUUGCCAUAGUAGAAAUGUAACCAACUAACCAACCAACCAACGGACUAUUGAUUAGACACAGGUAACACACCACGUAAUGAAUCGGAUUGAAAUUUCCAUUGAUGAAGUCGACUCGCCCACGACCAGAAGGCCCCGACAUGUUGGAUGUGAAUGAGUUUAUCAAACUGUAAAUGGGGGAACUGCAACUAGCAGCUGCGAACGGUGAAUAAAAUGAUUGGCUGGUUUUA